rnacentral:rRNA from 1 species
UACGAAGGGGGCUAGCGUUGCUCGGAAUCACUGGGCGUAAAGGGUGCGUAGGCGGGUUUUUAAGUCAGGGGUGAAAUCCUGGAGCUCAACUCCAGAACUGCCUUUGAUACUGAAGAUCUUGAGUCCGGGAGAGGUGAGUGGAACUGCGAGUGUAGAGGUGAAAUUCGUAGAUAUUCGCAAGAACACCAGUGGCGAAGGCGGCUUCCUGGACCGGUUCUGACACUGAGGAGCGAAAGCGUGGGGAGCGAUCCGG